GCCUGGAUAGCUCAGUGGUAGAGCACUAACUUGGUAAGUUAGGGGUCGAGAGUUCAAUCCUCUCUCCAGGCU
rnacentral:tRNA from 1 species